rnacentral:rRNA from 1 species
CCUCGCAAGAGGAGCUUGGAGACAGGUGCUGCAUGGCUGUCGUCAGCUCGUGUCGUGAGAUGUUGGGUUAAGUCCCGCAACGAGCGCAACCCUUGUCUUUAGUUGCCAUCAUUUAGUUGGGCACUCUAAAGAGACUGCCGGUGUCAAACCGGAGGAAGGUGGGGAUGACGUCAAGUCCUCAUGGCCUUUAUGACCAGGGCUACACACGUACUACAAUGGCCGGUACAAAGGGCAGCCACUUAGCGAUAAGGAGCCAAUCCCGUAAAGCCGGUCUCAGUCCGGAUUGGAGUCUGCAACUCGACUCCAUGAAGUUGGAAUCGCUAGUAAUCGCAGAUCAGCACGCUGCGGUGAAUACGUUCCCGGGCCUU